rnacentral:rRNA from 1 species
AGAGUUUGAUCCUGGCUCAGGAUGAACGCUGGCGGCGUGCCUAAUACAUGCAAGUCGAGCGAACAGAUAAGGAGCUUGCUCCUUUGACGUUAGCGGCGGACGGGUGAGUAACACGUGGAUAACCUACCUAUAAGACUGGGAUAACUUCGGGAAACCGGAGCUAAUACCGGAUAACAUAUUGAACCGCAUGGUUCAAUAGUGAAAGGCGGCUUUGCUGUCACUUAUAGAUGGAUCCGCGCCGUAUUAGCUAGUUGGUAAGGUAACGGCUUACCAAGGCAACGAUACGUAGCCGACCUGAGAGGGUGAUCGGCCACACUGGAACUGAGACACGGUCCAGACUCCUACGGGAGGCAGCAGUAGGGAAUCUUCCGCAAUGGGCGAAAGCCUGACGGAGCAACGCCGCGUGAGUGAUGAAGGUCUUCGGAUCGUAAAACUCUGUUAUCAGGGAAGAACAAAUGUGUAAGUAACUGUGCACAUCUUGACGGUACCUGAUCAGAAAGCCACGGCUAACUACGUGCCAGCAGCCGCGGUAAUACAA